GCGCAGCAGUCGCGAAACCUCCGCAAUGCGCGAAAGCGCGACGGGUUACCCGAGUGCCGUCCGCUGAGGACGGCUUUGCCCAGUGCAGCCAGCUGGGCGAAUAAGGAGAGGGCAAGUCUGGUGUCAGCCGCCGCGGUAAUACCAGCUCUCCGAGUGGUGGGGACGCUUAUUGGGCCUAAAGCAUCCGUAGCCGGUCUGGCAAGUCCCUUGUUAAAUCCAACGAUUCAAUCGUUGGACUGCAAGGGGAUACUGCCAGACUAGGGGGCGGGAGAGGCCGACGGUAUUCCCGGGGUAGGGGUGAAAUCCUAUAAUCCCGGGAGGACCACCAGUGGCGAGGGCUGUCGGCUAGAACGCGCCCGACGGUGAGGGAUGAAAGCUGGGGGAGCGAACCGGAUUAGAUACCCGCGUAG
rnacentral:rRNA from 1 species